rnacentral:rRNA from 1 species
AAUGGUGAUAAGAAGGUGCAUUGGAUCUCUUGGGAGAAGAUGUGUGAUGCCAAGCGGGAUGGAGGCCUAGGUUUCCAGGAUCUGGAAGUUUUCAACCAAGCUCUUUUGGCUAAACAGGCAUGGAGGAUUCUACAGUGCCCAAUGUCAUUGUGUGUUCGGGUUCUUACGGCGAGAUAUUUCCCGGAUACGACGAUUAUGUCGGCCACUUACCCCUCGGGAGGAUCGUUCACUUUUUGGAGUAUACUUCAUGGGCGUGAUCUGUUGAGAGAGGGCCUUGUUUGGCGGGUUGGUGAUGGAACAAGGAUAAAUAUACACUACGACAACUGGAUUCCGAGAAGCCGAAGCAUGCGGCCACUCGGAGCUGUUUUUGUACAGGGGGUAACUAAGGUGGCCGAUCUCUUGGUGACUGCUGGCGACGCAUGGGACAACACUAUAAUUGAUGACAUGUUUUCGUCGGAUGAUGCCUUAGACAUUAAGCAGAUUGCUAUAGGUGGGUCGGCGAUGGAGGACUGUCUUGCAUGGAACUACACGAAGAAUGGGGUCUUCACGAUGCGCUCGGCUUGUCAUCUGAGAAUGACCAUGAACAAGCUGAAAACCGGACAGCCGAAAUCAACAAGUUCAGUUAACAAACAUCAAGGGUACCUGGGCCUUUGGGAUACCAGCGCACCAAAUAAAGCCAAGAUUCAUAUGUGGAGAGUCAUAAGGAAUGGGUUUGCUGUAGGCGCGGAGCUGCUGCGUUGGUGA